AGUGAACGCUGGCGGUAGGCCUAACACAUGCAAGUCGAACGGCAGCACAGUAAGAGCUUGCUCUUACGGGUGGCGAGUGGCGGACGGGUGAGGAAUACAUCGGAAUCUACUUUUUCGUGGGGGAUAACGUAGGGAAACUUACGCUAAUACCGCAUACGACAUACGGGUGAAAGCAGGGGAUCUUCGGACCUUGCUCGAUUGAAUGAGCCGAUGUCGGAUUAGCUAGUUGGCGGGGUAAAGGCCCACCAAGGCGACGAUCCGUAGCUGGUCUGAGAGGAUGAUCAGCCACACUGGAACUGAGACACGGUCCAGACUCCUACGGGAGGCAGCAGUGGGGAAUAUUGGACAAUGGGCGCAAGCCUGAUCCAGCCAUACCGCGUGGGUGAAGAAGGCCUUCGGGUUGUAAAGCCCUUUUGUUGGGAAAGAAAAGCAGCAGGUUAAUACCCCGCUGUUCUGACGGUACCCAAAGAAUAAGCACCGGCUAACUUCGUG
rnacentral:rRNA from 1 species